rnacentral:miRNA from 1 species
AUUCAUGUCAGUAUUCGGU